rnacentral:rRNA from 1 species
AUUGAACGCUGGCGGCAUGCCCUACACAUGCAAGUCGAACGGCAGCAUGAUCUAGCUUGCUAGAUUGAUGGCGAGUGGCGAACGGGUGAGUAAUACAUCGGAACGUGCCCUGUAGUGGGGGAUAACUAGUCGAAAGAUUAGCUAAUACCGCAUACGACCUGAGGGUGAAAGUGGGGGACCGCAAGGCCUCAUGCUAUAGGAGCGGCCGAUGUCUGAUUAGCUAGUUGGUGAGGUAAAGGCUCACCAAGGCGACGAUCAGUAGCUGGUCUGAGAGGACGAUCAGCCACACUGGGACUGAGACACGGCCCAGACUCCUACGGGAGGCAGCAGUGGGGAAUUUUGGACAAUGGGCGAAAGCCUGAUCCAGCAAUGCCGCGUGUGUGAAGAAGGCCUUCGGGUUGUAAAGCACUUUUGUCCGGAAAGAAAUGGCUCUGGUUAAUACCUGGGGUCGAUGACGGUACCGGAAGAAUAAGGACCGGCUAACUACGU